UUUAUAGGCAGGAGAGGCUAUCAGAGAUUUUGAGUAGAAGCUUGGCAAUUUGGCUGUGCUUUAAGAAAACAGAGGUGAGAGAAUUCUGCAGGAUAAAGCAGAGGAAGGAGGGGCAAUGGAGGAAGAAAGGUCAGCUGGGAAAUGAUUGCAACACUGGAGGUGUGGUACGAUAAGAGAUGGGAGCAGCGUGAAUAAAAGAGAGAAAACAGAACUGUCACCUGUGACAUGUGACUGAGAGAGGGCUCUGGCAUCAGAUUGGAGCCAUAUUGCUCAGGUAUAAGACUCAGCAAUCCAGCAUUGUAAUUGUCUGACCUUCCAAACUUACCUGAAAACUAUGCUUUUCAGCUUCUUCAUCUGCAAAAUGAAUCAGGAGUGGCACAAGCCCCACUGACUAGUGAGAGGACUCUGCAGGGGGUGAAAAUCAGAAUGAAGAAAAACAGCAAGAAAAUUCUGCAUUUUCUGAUUUGGAACACAGAAGUGAAAAGCUCCUUAAAGAUUUCCAGAGAAUGAGGGCUCAGAGAACUGAGUUCUGCCCCAGCCAAUGGAAGAGAAGAGCACAUUGGCUUGUGCUGCAGGCCUGGAAAUAGAACACAUCAGUCAUUUCUGGAUGCUUGUCAUUGGAGGGAACCCAAUCAUGUGACUCCAGCUAAAAGCAAAGGACCUUAGGAAAUGUGAUACAGCUGUAUGCCCAAGAAGAGACUAUCCUCUGAGACAAGGUUAGCAGUUUCUGCCACCAUUGGUGACAUUGAAAGCCAGCAGAUUUCACAUGUAAUGCACCUACAUUACAACAUUUAACUAGAAUAAAAAGAUUUUGCUGUGUUCUACAAUACAGUGAUUUUUGGGGUCAGGCAUUAGCUCCCCUUUGGAAGGAGCAUGCUGCCUAGGUGUGAUAUCACCUCCAUUUUCCUUUUUGUACUAACCCAGGUACCGCUUUACAUAAACAUGACCAAUUCAUGCUUGAAAUUAAGCCAGUGAUUUAAAAAGUCUAUUUAACCUAAAGCUUAGAAUUUGUUUUUAUUUGCUGAAUUCUGAUCAAAAUCUUUUCUUUAAAUGUAUGGCUAGGGUCAUCACUCUUCUGUAAAUCCAAUAUAUAAUGUUAUACUUGCAAGUACUUGUUAUUCUGCAGGAUGACUCCUUCCUAAUUGGAUGAUCUAGAACCCAUUCUCAGCUGCCUUAUUUACAACCUAACUCUUCUUAGUGAUUUGCUUCUACAUAAUUGUUCCAACAUGUUAACAUUUUUAUAGAACCAAAAGCUUCCUUUUAUUUCCUGCCUACAUUUCAUUGGGUGAAAUGAUAUUUUAAAAGCUCAUGCAAUUACCAUAAUAAAUAUG